rnacentral:lncRNA from 1 species
UCACUACAAUCCUGUGAUCUUCAUAGGUUUCCCUUAUAUUACUCUUUUCCCCACUUAUAGUUCUGUUAUGUACCCAGAGGGGGUACUGGUAUACUAGAGAGGCUUGCUUGUCAUCGCUUAAGGUAUUAUUGCCUGUUUCCUGGCUGAGAAUCUGAUUAUCCAAUUAGGAGCAGCUAUUAAUUUACUCCUGCUUUUCCUAGAAAACACUCAAGAAUCCAUCUUUUACUUCAGAUUAUAGUGUUGCUCAUAUUUAAGAGGGAAGAUAAAGCCUUUUUAUGAGGUUGGUCUAAAUUGGUAUAUCAUCAGAAGGAAAUAGGAAGAAGUGGGAAGGGUCUAGAAAUUCUUGAACAGAGAAAUACUGAGUGGUUGGUAACUAUAUUGUUAUAGCAAUAAAUUAGUUGCAAUUUACCCUAUUAGUGGCCUUUGAUUACUAUUCGUCUCAUGCCUCUUCCACUGUAAUCUCAAGAAGCUUUCCUUGAAAUCCAUUGGCUCAUCAGCAGCCUCUGGUACAUAACUAUUAUUGCAUAUGUGAAAGGUCCUUAAAACCUGAAAUGGUAGAAAGAAACAUCGAAUUUGCAUCUUCUACAUUCUUAACCUUUUAUAGGUGGUUACCAAUAUCUGUAGGAACAACCAUAGCUGUUCCAAUUAGAAUUAGAGUUGGCAAUAUCUCAGUAAGUCUGGAGCCCUUCCAAUCAUAGAUUUACAUAUAGGCACCUCAAUACACUCAUCAAUGCCAUAUUUGUAAAAUUGUUGGAAGUUGAGACGUGUACUUUUUUUUAUUUUUUGGGGGUGGGGGCGUUGAUUUAAGUGGUAAAAAAAAAAUAAUUUAAGCACACUAGAUUCACCCUCUGAGUCACAUGUCCAAUUCUUCUUGUGAUUCUCGCUGUAUCCAUGCCAUCCAAAUAUCACAGCAGGUUGAAUUGUAAAACAUCCUCAGCAGAACUUGACUUUUAAAUGUGUUCAUGUCUUAUAGGGACUGGAUAGGUAGCACUUUCAAAUUAUGCAUGCAUAUAGUAGUAGAGGAGUAAACAAAGAUCAGCUUUAAUUUAUUAUGGCUUAUCUUUUAAAUAAAAAUCCAUUGUUGCAUGCUUGAAAACUGUUGCUCCUUUGAAACAAGAAUUACAAGUGGGUUAUGUGACAAGCUAUUGAUGAAUAGUCCAUGACAAAUCUGUAUUUUAUCUGAAAGUUUCUCUGAUUGGUAUGAGACGGGACCUCUCUUUCUACAAAAUGGAACUCACUUCUGU